CAGUGUCAUUGUCGUAUGAAAUUUUGUAAUUUGACUACUCCUAUAAUUCAGCUGUACUUACAGUAAUAUGUCCUAAGCUGUCUGUAUUUAAUUAUGAUUAUGUAUUUGAUUUUUAAAAAUUAGUGAGUUAAAGGCUGGGCGCGGUGGCUCAAGCCUGUAAUCCCAGCACUUUGGGAGGCUGAGGCGGGUGGAUCACGAGGUCAAGAGAUAGAGACCAUCCUGGUCAACAUGGUGAAACCCCAUCUCUACUAAAGAUACAAAAAAAUUAGCUGGGCAUGGUGGUGCGUGCCUUUAAUCCCGGCUACUCAGGAGGCUGAGGCAGGAGAAUUGCCUGAACCCAGGAGGCGGAGGUUGCGGUGAGCCGAGAUCGAGCCAUUGCACUCCAGCCUGAGUAACAAGAGCGAGACUCCGUCUCAAAAAAAAAAAAAAAAAAAAAUUAGUGAGUUAAUAAUAUGUGCCUCAUGGAAUGGAAAAUAAAUAUUUGACAAGCUUAAUACUAGUGAUUUUUAUUCACUACCUUAGAUAUGCUAAGGAUUAAAAAAUCAAAUUUUAAGUCUUGAGAUGUAUUGAUGAGAAAUGACCCCUGCAUAGCGAACAUGGUGAAAUGUAAAGAAGACUCAUAAUUUGGUGACAGAACAUUUGAUUUGGGUUGUAUAUGUGCGGUGAGGAAGUAGUGGAUGCAAAUGUCCAUUAAUGUUGAGGAUUAAUGAAUAAGAAGGGAGAGCAGAACACCAUUUAAGACUGGUGCCGUAUAAUAUAAUUCCCGCAGAUGAGGGCCCAGGGAAAAGAACUGAGCCUAUGUCUUCUUUUUAAUGUUAGUUAAGCAGCUCACCCCCAGUGGGACUUCUAUUAGACAUCUUUCCAUUUGGUCUCUUCUUACACUCCAACCCAGAGGGAACAGUUAAUAAUUGGAUGUUUAUAAAAUGGGAGUAGAAGGGUUUACUGAGGUGGAUCCUGGCUAUCCCUCUGGGAGGAGACCCUUACUUCAGGAAUGGGAGUCUUUAUCCCCGCAGCCUGAAGCUGCUUCAUUUCCCUAGGUCUGUUGUGUUUUGUUUCUGUAAAGUGUUACGAGUUCUGGAUAUUUUUGUAAAAGAAUUGCUCAAGAUUUGUAUAAAAUGUUGUUUACAGNGGUGGAUCCUGGCUAUCCCUCUGGGAGGAGACCCUUACUUCAGGAAUGGGAGUCUUUAUCCCCGCAGCCUGAAGCUGCUUCAUUUCCCUAGGUCUGUUGUGUUUUGUUUCUGUAAAGUGUUACGAGUUCUGGAUAUUUUUGUAAAAGAAUUGCUCAAGAUUUGUAUAAAAUGUUGUUUACAGAUCUUUUAAUGAAUAAAUACAUAAAAAUCCCCCCCCCA
rnacentral:lncRNA from 13 species